CAGAGGUCUCAAGCGUUGUUCGGAAUCACUGGGCGUAAAGGGUGCGUAGGCUGCGCCGUAAGUCAGAUGUGAAAGCUCAGGGCUCAACCCUGAAAUUGCAUCCGAUACUGCGGCGCUAGAGAAAUGAAGAGGAGUCUAGAAUUUUCGGUGUAGCAGUGAAAUGCGUAGAUAUCGAAAGGAAUACCAAAGGCGAAGGCAGGACUCUGGGCAUUUUCUGACGCUGAUGCACGAAGGCCAGGGUAGCGAACGGGAUUAGAUACCCCGGUAGUCCUGGCAGUAAACGGUGCACGUUUGGUGUGGGGGGAUUCGACCCCUUCCGCGCCGGAGCUAACGCGUUAAACGUGCCGCCUGGGAAGUACGGUCGCAAGAUUA
rnacentral:rRNA from 1 species